AUUUUAUUUGUCAUUAUAAUCACAUAACAUUGUACAUUGUAGGCCUAUGUCUUCAUUACAUUUACAUUUUGCAAGACCAAAUGAACUGAGAAGACAUCAUAGUCGAUCACAUUCUAUUAUAAAUACCUUUUGAAGUUUAGUACAUUUCAUGAUGAUUGUGCAUAAUUUAUAAGACAUACAACAGGUGGAGUGGAUGGAUUGAUUUACGUUUUCUUUAAUCGCUUUGGUGCUAUUUUCAUAAGCAUGUGGUGAAUUUUCCAAACUUAAGUACAAGACUCUAAAUUGACAACACUUGUAAUACCCCCUAUCUUAUGUUCAGAACCUUUGAUUGUGCAUUCAUUGGGGUCUUUCGCCCCUGAGUCAUUCAUGCAAAAUCUAAGUUCUAUGAAAUACUAAUACUUGCUUAGUCAGCAAUACCUCAGAUAAUGUUCACUAUUUAGUCAUUUUAACUACUAUUAAAUCCAUUAGCAAAUAAUACAAGAUACAAAUGUCAAAACAGUUAUUUUAAAGGUGAUGAAUAGAGUGAAAUGGUAAAUAUGAUUUUCCAUGCAGUUUGACUAUAACUUGACAUGUAACAUUUUUAAAUGAUUUGUAUUCAAUGGCAGGUUGUGAGCAUGUUGAGAAAUAUGUCAGUCUUACAGUUUCAUUACAUACAUACACUACAUGACCAAAGGUAUGUGGACACCUGCUCAUCAAACAUCUCAUUGCAAAAGCAUGUGCAUUAAUAUGAAGUUGGUACCCACUUUGCUGCUAUAACAGCCUCCACUAGUGAGGUCUGGCACUGAUGUUGGGCGAUUAGGCCUGGCUCGCAGUCAGCGUUCCAAUUCAUCCAAAAGAUGUUCGAUGGGGUUGAGGUCAGGGCUCUGUGCAGUUCAGUGAAGUUCUUCCACACCAAUCUCAACAAACCAUUUCUGUAUGGAUCUCGCUUUGUGCACAGGGGCAUUGUCAUGCUAAAAGAGGAAAGGGCCUUCCCCAAACUGUUGCUACAAAGUUGGAAGCACAGAAUGGUCUAGAAUGACAUUGUAUGCUGUAGCGCUAAGAUUUCCCUUCACUGGAACUAAGGGGCCUAGCCCGAACCAUGAAAAACAGCCCCAGACCAUUAUUCCUCCUCCACCAAACUUUACAGUUGGCACUAUGCAUUGGAGCAGGUAGAGUUCUCCUGGCAUCCGCCAAACCCAGAUUAGUCCGUCGGACUGUCAGAUGGGGAAGCGUGAUUCAUCACUCCAAAGAACGCUUUUCCACUGCUCCAGAGUCCAAUGGCGGCGAGCUUUACACCACUCCAGCCGUCGCUUGGCAUUGCGCAUGGUGAUCUUAGGCUUGUGUGUGGCUGCUUAGCCAUGGAAACCCUUUUCAUGAAGCUCCCGACAAACAGUUAUUGUGCUGACGGUGCUUCAAGAGGCAGUUUGGAAAUUGGUAGUGAGUGUUGCAAACAAGGACAGACGAUUUCUAAGCACUACGCGCUUCAGCACUUGCUGGUCCCAUUCUGUGAGCUUGAGGCCUACCACUUCGUGGCUGAGCCGUUGUUGCUCCUAGACGUUUCCUCUUUACAACAACAGCACUUACAAUUGACAGGAUUCAGCUCUAGCAGGACAGAAAUUUAACGAACUGACUUGGUGGAAAGGUGGCAUCCUAUGGUGGUGCCAUGUUGAAAGUCACUAAGCUCUUCAGUAAGGCUAUUCUACUGCCAUUGUUUGUCUAUGGAGAUUUCAUGGCUGUGUGCCUGAUGUAAUACACCUGGCAGCAUAGGGUGUGGCUGAAAUGUCCGAAUCCACUAAUUUGAAGGGGUGUCCACAUACUUUUGUAUAGAUAAUGUACGUAGGACAAAUCAUCAGAAAUAGGGAUAUUGUAAAGCAGUUGGCUGUUGUAAAAACAUAGCACUGCCCCAUGCAACAUUGCACAAGAUCACCUUUUCUACGGGACUUGUCAACUGAUACAGUAUCACCUCUCUCUCUGCUUGAAAUUCAUCAGCUUACAGUGUCUCAAUGAAAUUCAGAUAAUGAGUGGAAUCUAUUGUUAUAUACAACCUAGACCUAUGUAUUUCAGCAGUGCAUUGUACACAGCAGUAUAAUUCCAAAUGGUAGCACAUACACUACCGUUCAAAAGUUUGGGGUCACUUAGAAAUGUCCUUGUUUUUGAAAGAAAAGCAAAUUUUUUGUCCAUUAAAAUAACAUCAAAUUGAUCAGAAAUACAGUGUAGACAUUGUUAAUGUUGUAAAUUACUAUUGUAGUUGGAAUAUCUACGUAGGCGAACCAGAGGCCCAUUAUCAGCCACCAUCAUUCCUGUGUUCCAACGGCACGUUGUGUUAGCUAAUCCAAGUUUAUCAUUUUAAAAGGCUAAUUGGUCAUUAGAAAACCCUUUUGCAAUAAUGGUAUUACAGCUGAAAACUGUUGUACUGAUUAAAGAAGCAAUAAAACUGUCCUUCUUUAGACUAGUUGAGUAUCUGGAGCAUCAGCCUUUGCGGGUUCGAUUACAGGCUCAAAAGUGAAGAGUGAAGAGACUGGUGUUUUGUGGGGACUAUUUUAUGAAGCUGCCAGUCGAGGACUUGUGAGGCAUCUGCUUGUCAAACUAGGCACUCUAAUGUACUUGCCCUCUUGCUCAGUUGUGCACCAGGGCCUCCCACUCGUCUUUCUAUUCUGGUUAGGGCCAGUUUGCGCUGUUCUGUGAACGGAGUAGUACACAGCAUGGUACAGGAUCUUCAGUUUCUUGGCAAUUUCUCCCAUGGAAUAGCCUUCAUUUCUCAGAACAAGAAUAGACUGACGGAUUUCAGAAGAAAGUUAUUUGUUUCUGGCCAUUUUGAGCCUGUAAUCGAACCUACAAAUGCUGAUGCUCCAGAUACUCAACUAGUCUAAAGAAGGACCGUUUUGUUUAUUGCUUCUUUAAACAGAACAACAGUUUUCAGCUGUGCUAACAUAGUUGCAAAAGGGUUUUCUAAUGAUCAAAUAGCCCUUUAAAAUUAUAAACCUGGAUUAGCUAACACAAGUGACCCCAAACUUUUGAACGGUGGUGUACAUGUAGACUGACUCUUUUCGAUUUUGUCCUAUUGAAGCACACUGGCUGAUGGGAAAAAAUGAUGAUGUAGUAUUUACAGCCAUAUCCAUAUAUGAUUUGUUUUACCUUCCACCAUAAAUUGAUGUCAAAUUGAUACAUUUUGUAUAUAGUUUUUCAGUGUUCAGCAGUUAUCAAACUACAUACGUUAACUAGGCACUACAUAAUUGUGGUUCAGUAUUUAUCAGUUUUGAGCAGUAUGAUUAAGUGAAUUGUGUUGUUAACAAAUGACAAGAAAAUCAUAUCAACAGCAAAGUGAAUAUUGCAUUUUGAAAAACAGUUACUUAGAUUGAACAUGUAUACAAAUUGAAAGAGUGCUUUGGUGCAGUGAACUAGUGACUUUGAAUUUGUUUGUUGUACUCAGUCAAUGGGAAAUGUGCUUAGAGUUUUGAAACAUGAUUUUUGUGAUUAGAGUUGUGAAAAUGUACCACAUACUUGUGAAAAUUGCACCCAAGUCAUUGGGAGAAAAAAAACUGAAAUACAGUGUGUGAUAAAGUUAUCUUGAUAGCCAUUCAAUCAGAUUAAUUCUCUCACAAUACCUCUUAAUAUAAAUGUACAUACACUUUAGAGACCGAUCAUUACAACUGAAAAAAAUACCUUAAUGCAGGACACACAAUGAUUAAUUAUUUGAAUUAGAAACAUGCUUUUGUGUGUAAGCACCCCUGAAAAACCAUAAUCAAAAAAAGAAAUUUAAAAAAAGUAUAUAUAUGUUUCUCACAAAAGUAGUGUGUAUUAGCUGACCGAUAUCCACCUCAUUUUGAAAACUUUUAAAACACAGAAACCAAAUGCCGAAACUAUGGAUACAACUUCCUCCAUGCUCAUGCAUGAUCACAAUUCAUAUGUGCACCACUAGAAAUCCCUGCAUUUAAUAGUAGGUUUCUGUUAGCUGAUACAUAAUGACAAAAUACACCAUAUUACUGUCCGGCUAAUGUGCCUGGACUUUUUAGGCUAAACUGCCUUGGAAAAAAGCAUAACUGAUCCAGAUGGUUGCCCAAUCAGGCAACCUAGAUGCGCUUAUUUCAAAAUGAAUAUGCAUUCUAAAUGCCAGGUUUUGAGUGGUUAUUCAAAUGACAGGCUAUUCACUGCCGUUUACAGCCUAGACUAGAGUUUGUACUCACUUGAAAACAAUAACAUUCUUCAUUACAUUGUGUUGUUGUAGCCUAUACAGGAUACAUUGCUUGUCCCUACAAAACUGAAACAAUAGGAUAUAUUUUCGAGCAUCGUACCUGGGUACUGGGAGGGAGCGCGCACAUAUUGUAAACUACCUAGGCUUUAUUUUAAUGAUACACUUUUUCCCCCUUUGACUGGAUAUAUGCACUGCAGUAUUAAGCCUAACAUUGGUCUUAUGAAUUAUGGUCUAAUAUGCACACGCUUCUAACUUAAGCUAUAUGGUACAUGUCGAGCCUGUCUGUCUUCAUUGUUCUGUUGCGAAAUUAUGCAUCUGGCCUCUCCGCUGUCACGGCUAUUCAUUUUAAAUGUUGUGGAGUCCCAGUAAAAGCCAAAAGCUUGUUGGACACUUGUUUAAACGUAUUUUCAUUAGCCUACUAACAGCCCAUUGGAGUUUAGAUGCAUGCUUGCUCUUGCUUGCUGAAUGUAAAAUAUGCUACAGCAUUAACGGGCGGGGAGAUGGAAAAGAGCAGUCCAUAUUUAUAGUAGGCUACUCCUAUCUUAACACCGGGCUACAUCCUGACAAAAUAGGUCUACACCACAUGAGUGGCCUGCUAAUGUAUCUUUCUGGACCUUAUACAC
ensembl:lncRNA